AGAGAUACCCCACUCGCAGCCCAAACCUAGAUCAGAUCCCAUCAACCCCUCCCACCAUCGCAUCCCUCCUCCCUCGUCCCCGUCUCCUCACCGCCGCCGCCACCUCCUCCCCGUCCCCGGCACCCUCCCGAUCCAGUCAUCCGUCUCAUUCCCCUCGUCCAAACCCACCAACGCGACGGCGCACCCACCCACCCACCAACGCGGGCCCCUCUCUCCCUCGUCUCUCCCUCUCCCCCGCACCACUCCUCGCUGCCGCCACCACCACCACCUACGGCGCCCGAUCCCGCCUGAAUCCGGUGUCCUCCGGCGGCGCCGAGCACACCACGGUGACCCCAUCCCUCCGCUACUUCCUCCCAUCCAUGGCGGCGAGCGAGUCAGCCAAAUCGACCCCCGUUCCCCGAAAGCAGCGGCAGCACCACCCACCCAUGGCUUCCCUGACGGCGAGAUCCGGCCUCCGCUCCCUGGCGGCGCGCGCCAGGCCCCCCGCCCCGGCCCCGGUUGGGUGCCGCAUGUACACCUCGCGAACCCUCCCUCCCUCUCUUCUAUCCCCCGAUUCGAUCGAUCGUUUGACGUGGAUUUGGGGAUUUUUCUCGUUUGAUUGAUGAUGAUGCCUCGCAGAUAAGACGACCAAGUGGGAGAAGAUCACCAUCAUGGGGGCCGUCACCUGCACCCUCCUGACGGCCUGGAACCUCUCCAAGGGCCACCCCCACUUCGACGAGCCGCCGGCCUACCCCUACCUGCACAUCCGCAACAAGGAGUUCCCCUGGCUUGACAUCGGGAUGACAUCACUCAUAUCAGUCUUGCCGGAGGCUAAUCCUGUAGUGUCCGGCACUAAUACGUACAGCCGGAGGCUGACUUUUUUUGAGUACGUAGGCACUAAAACAUGCUUCAAAUAGCAAUGUGUCCAUCAUGGAUCCUUUCCAAAUUUUAUCACAGCAUAAUUUAUUUAUUUUAAUUGCUUGUAGCACAUACGUGGAAGCACCUUUUUCCCUUCCUUUCUUUCCUAUUAGUACAUGCAAUGCUUCUAUGCAUAUAUGUGCUGGACUCUUUUUUUUAGGAUCUAUAUGUGCUGGACUCUAGGACGCGCACGUGUAUCUCCGGCAACCUGUUUUUAGAAAAAAACUUAGCUGUAGUUUUUCAUUCUUUCUUUUUUAGUUGGUUAUUUCCAACUUCUUAUUCGUGCAUCAUGUACGUGCCGGCUUGACAUAUAUAACUUUAGAACGUAACAUAAUAUCUUUAAAUCUCAGCCGUAAAUAUUACUAAUCAACAAUGUAUAUUAUUUUGCUUAUGUGGAAGAAUGUGGUGCCUUAUUUGUCUUCUGUCUUCAUUAUAUAAUAGAUAAUAGAUUCAAUAGAACUAGUAUUGUAUAACGAUAUGACAUGUUUAGUUUUAGACUUGUGUUGUGUGGUUUUAAAUUGCUGAUCCGUGAACUGAAUUGUGGCAUAUGACUCUCUGUUCUUAUGUGUGGUAAUUAGUUACACCUGUCACAUGUGUUCUGCACUUGUUGAAUAAAUGACUUCAGUUUGUAGUACUUGUGUUAGCUUUGUUCCUGUGGUAUAAAUGUUUUCAAUUUGUAGUACUUGGGUUAGCCGAGCAUCAUCGCUGAUCGUCUAGUCCCCAAGGAGAAACGACAUCCGCUGUUUGUGGGUGAUUCACUUAGCUAUAUUUACAGCCGAUCACCUAGUUGCAUUUAUUUACUGUUGUUGCUAUGCCAUCGUGAUGACACAUUCGUUCAUGUUGUAUUGCUAUUGAUUUUGUCUCUCUCAUGACGGUAUUUUGGCAUUGUUAUGCAGGAGCCAUGGGUUUGACUUCGGCAAAGGGGAUCGCCCUCACCGUCUCCUUGUUUUGGCCUCCUCGCGUUUCUGCUCGGUGUCAUUUAUCUGUUAUACUAUAUGAAUCAUGCAUGCUGAUACACUACUGUGCAAGUUCUAUGGUAUGUGAGUUCCUUUUGUUGCUGCAAGCAUUGAUACAAUAUGUCAUGUUUAGGGAGCUCUGCAUCUGAGUCUCGGUCAUCCUGCACAGCGAGGAGUUGGGCCAAGGGAGCAAGCAGUGCUGCUGGUUCCUUGAGGCCGGAUUGAGUAAGAUGGUGCACCACGACGUGUGGCACGAGAGCUUCAGGCAUAAAAGGAAGUUGGAAGUGUGAAACCAUGAAGAUUGCUCAAGAAAGUACGGUAUAUUAUAUAUUGUAAUAGUAGACAUAUCUAGGUUGUAAAGAUUGUAAUAGACUAAUUUAGUGUUGUUUUCGACGAAUUUCAUGUGCUCUCUGGUCUGUUUGAAAUAUUGAUUCUGUAUGUGAUUUCAAUACUUGUGAAAUGGAAACCUGCGAUCUACAU